rnacentral:tRNA from 11 species
CGGAUGUAGCCAAGUGGAUCAGGGCAGU